UGGCAAAUCUAAUUCCUGGUAACAGUACAUGGGAGGAUCCAGAGUGAGCAACAGAGGGACAAAAAUCAAAGCAAAGGAAGACAUGCAGCACAAAUUACAGGCAUAUAAAAGCUGAACCGAGGAUGGUAAAAUCCUUGAAGAGACAGUUCUCUCAUACACACUGUUAUUGAAUUCAUUAGUGCUUCAUUGGUGGGACACAAGUCAUGUCUCUUCCGCUGGAUGUGAGCUCCUUCAACAGGGAUGCUUCACUGGUCACACUGGAGAAGCAGCUCAUCUGCCCCCUCUGCCUGGAGGUGUUUACCAAACCAGUGGUCAUACUGCCCUGCCAGCACAACAUUUGCCGCAAAUGUGCUAAUGAGCUUUACCAGCCUUCUCUGUUCCAGGUUGGGAUUGGGGGUCGAUUUCGGUGUCCAACCUGUUGCCAUGAAGUUGUUUUGGACCGUCAUGGUGUUUUUGGGCUCCAGAGAAACCUUCUAGUUGAAAAUAUCAUUGAUGUCUACAAGCAAGCAUCUGCAAGUUGUAGGCCGACACCAAAACCACUAGCACAAAUAAACUGUGAAGAACAUGAAGGGGAGAAGCUAAAUGUUUACUGCAUCACCUGUCAGAUCCCCACAUGUUCACUUUGUAAAGUGUUUGGAGCACAUAAGUCCUGUCAGGUGGCCCCUGUCUCUGAUGUAUAUCAGCAGCAAAAGACUGAACUUACUGAUGGGAUUGGACCACUGGUUGCCUCUAAUGAGCGCAUCCAAGCUUGCAUAAAUGAUCUGGAGGAGAUCUGUAGCAGUAUUGAGGAAAAUAGCAGAAAGCAAAAGCAGAUACUGUGUGAGAAGUUUGACCGGAUGUGUGGUAUCCUGGAAGAAAGACGUAAGAUUAUGGUACAGCGAAUUACAUAUGAGCAGGAUGAAAAGACAAGCUGGGCCCAAAGCUUGGUGCAUACCUACAGUGAGCAUGUCGACACAAACUCAAAAUUGGUGCAGACUGCUUUGAAUGCUAUGGAAGAGAUGGAGAUGGCUGCAUUUCUCCAGACCUCAAAAAACCUUAUUGAACAGGUCAGUGAGGCAACUAAAUCUGCUCCGGUGGAGACCAUAGAGCCUGGAUAUGAAAAUAUGGAUCACUAUAUGGUUGAUUUUAAUGAUGAGGAGAGGGCUCUUUACCAGCUAGAUUUCAUUCAACUUGAAGAAGAAGGUGAAGCACCUCCAGAAGAGCUAGCACCAGAAGAACCUGAGCCAGAAGUGUUUCCAGAGCCUGAACCUGAGCCUGAGCCUGAGCCUGAAAAUGAACCUCUGCAUGAUCUAGUAGAGAACUCUGAGCCAGACAAUGAACUUGGAAUGAAGAUAGAGCACUUUGAGAUACAAAAUAUUUUAUCCCAGACAAAGGAGAAAAACCAGUCACAAGUAGUAGGAUGUUCAACAAGACAAAAAGAAAAGGUUAUAUGUGAGAAAAGUGGACUCAGCACUCAACAGGCCAUCAUCCAUACAUUUUACGUUCUGGCCUUGCUGGUUAUCCUCCAGAGAUUAUGGGGGAACAUUCAAUGUCUAUUUUUCAUAUAGCACUGUUGAGGAAUUACAGAUUUCAGGGUGAACCCUGCUCAAUGGGACCCCAGGACAACAGAGAGAUGGAGCAGAGCAUUGAUACAAGCUACUCUGAUGCCCCCAUGUGGUAGAGAGACAAAAGCAAGCAGACAUACAAACAGUUAGUCAGACUGCAGCUGCAGAUCACUCAGAGGUGGAAGCCAGCUGUCCUGCUGUUACAGGCGAUUCUGCUUGUAUCAGCUUCUCCUUCUCCUGGCUGAAUCCACUUGCCAAGAAGAAGUGACUGCUCUUCUCAGAGAAAAGCCAUCCAGUUCACAUGGCAUUUUGUCCAGCUGGCCAUAAUUCACAGGCUUUACCUCAGGGCAAACUGAAUAUUGUCCGGUUGGCCCACCUAUCCCUCUGUUUGUAUUUUGUAAAAAAAAAAUAGGUUACACAUAUUUUUUUUUCCACAUAGAUAGAUUUUUUCAGAUAGAUUUUUUUUUCACAUGAUUACUACAAACUACUUGGAUAUAAAUUCUAUAUCUGCCAGAGAAAGACGUUUACUAUAUAGAACUUGUAUACAAUUUGUUGUUAGGGGAAAAGCUUCAAUUUUAGAUUUAUUUCUACACCUUUGGAUGUGACUUGAGAAGGUAGAAGUUGUACUGUAGUGGUACUGAUGGCAUAAAUGUGAAAGUGUUAAUUAGUAAACUAAAAAGUGGUUAUUUUUAUUUGUUAGCAUGUUAAUGUGGUUGCUGUCAGUAUCAAUUAAAGGUUACAUACACAGUAAGCAGUACUAAAUGUUAAAAUGUACGAAUGACAAAAAUAAAAUGAACUGACAAAU